GAUGAAGAACGUAGCGAAAUGCGAUACGUAAUGUGAAUUGCAGAAUUCAGUGAAUCAUCGAGUCUUUGAACGCACAUUGCGCCCCCUGGUAUUCCGGGGGGCAUGCCUGUCCGAGCGUCAUUGCUGCCCUCAAGCACGGCUUGUGUGUUGGGCCUCCGUCCUCCUCCCGGGGGACGGGCCCGAAAGGCAGCGGCGGCACCGCGUCCGGUCCUCGAGCGUAUGGGGCUUCGUCACCCGCUCUUGUAGGCCCGGCCGGCGCUUGCCGACACAUCAAUCUUUUUUCCUGGUUGACAUCGGAUCAGGUAGGGAUACCCGCUGAACUUAAGCAUAUCAAUAAGCGGAGGA
rnacentral:misc_RNA from 1 species